rnacentral:sRNA from 2 species
UUUAAAAAUGCGCCGAAUCUCUUAUGAAGAGAGAGCGGGGGAACCGAUUUUUAUUGGGGUGAAACCGAUUUUGGCAGGGAAUUCCCUUUUCCCGAAUCCGUCAGCUAACCUCGUAAGCGCCGAAAGGGAAUCC